rnacentral:rRNA from 1 species
GGUGGCGGUGAGGGGCGCAGAGUCCAGGGGGAAACGACUGUUUACCAAAAACACAGGUCCGUGCGAAGUCGUAAGACGAUGUAUACGGACUGACUCCUGCCCGGUGCUGGAAGGUUAAGGGGAACUGUGAGUGUAUGCGUAGCGGUGAACUUAAGCCCCAGUAAACGGCGGUGGUAACUAUAACCAUCCUAAGGUAGCGAAAUUCCUUGUCGGGUAAGUUCCGACCUGCACGAAUGGAGUAACGAUUUCCCUACUGUCUCCACCAUGAACUCGGUGAAAUUGCAUUACGAGUAAAGAUGCUCGUUACGCGCAGCAGGACGGAAAGACCCCGGGACCUUUACUAUAGUUUGGUAUUGGUGAUUGGGACGGUUUGUGUAGGAUAGGUGGGAGACGUUGAUGCGGCCACGCUAGUGGUGGUGGAGUCGUUGGUGAAAUACCACUCUGAUUGUUCUGGUUAUCUCACUGUGGACCGUGAUCCGGUUCAAGGACAGUGCCUGAUGGGUAGUUUGACUGGGGCGGUCGCCUCCUAAAGGGUAACGGAGGCGCCCAAAGGUUCCCUCAGCCUGGUUGGUAAUCAGGUGGUGAGUGUAAGUGCACAAGGGGGCUUGACUGUGAGACUGACAGGUCGAGCAGGGACGAAAGUCGGGACUAGUGAUCUGACGGUGGCUUGUGGAUGCGCCGUCACUCAACGGAUAAAAGGUACCCCGGGGAUAACAGGCUGAUCUUGCCCGAGCGCUCAUAGCGACGGCAUGGUUUGGCACCUCGAUGUCGGCUCGUCGCAUCCUGGGGCUGGAGUCGGUCCCAAGGGUUGGGCUGUUCGCCCAUUAAAGCGGCACGCGAGCUGGGUUCAGAACGUCGUGAGACAGUUCGGUCCCUAUCCGCUGCGCGCGGAGGAAUCUUGAGAAGGGCUGUCUUUAGUACGAGAGGACCGAGACGGACUGACCUCUGGUGUGCCAGUUGUUCUGCCAAGAGCAUGGCUGGUUGGCUACGUCGGGUUGUGAUAACCGCUGAAAGCAUCUAAGCGGGAAGCACGCUUCAAGAUAAGGGUUCCCACAGGAGUGUUCCUGGUAAGGUCCCCGAGAGAUGAUCGGGUUGAUAGGCCAGACGUGGACGCAUCGUAAGGUGUGGAGCUGACUGGUACUAAUAGACCGAGGACUUUCAUUA